rnacentral:rRNA from 1 species
UACGUAGGGUGCAAGCGUUGUCCGGAAUUAUUGGGCGUAAAGAGCUCGUAGGCGGUCUGUUGCGUCGGCUGUGAAAACUCGGGGCUUAACCCCGAGCCUGCAGUGGAUACGGGCAGACUAGAGGUAGGUAGGGGAGAAUGGAAUUCCCGGUGUAGCGGUGAAAUGCGCAGAUAUCGGGAGGAACACCGGUGGCGAAGGCGGUUCUCUGGGCCUUACCUGACGCUGAGGAGCGAAAGCGUGGGGAGCGAACAGG